GGACGGGUGGCCGAGUUGGUUAUGGCGCCAGGUUAAGGUCAGCUUAACAUCUGUUUCCUGGUGGGGCAACCCGCGCGAGUUCGAGUCUCGUCCCUUUCA
rnacentral:tRNA from 1 species